ensembl:snRNA U6 U6 spliceosomal RNA
GCACUCAAUUCAGCAGCACAUAUACUAAGCUAGACAGUUACGGAGAAGAUUAGCAUGGUCCCUGUGCAAGGACAACACCCACAUUGUGAAACAUUCUGUAUAUAA